rnacentral:rRNA from 1 species
GAUGAACGCUGGCGGCGUGCCUAAUACAUGCAAGUAGAACGCUGAAGGAAGGAGCUUGCUCUUUCCGGAUGAGUUGCGAACGGGUGAGUAACGCGUAGGUAACCUGCCUGGUAGCGGGGGAUAACUAUUGGAAACGAUAGCUAAUACCGCAUAACAGUAGAUGUUGCAUGAUAUCUACUUAAAAGGUGCAAUUGCACCACUACCAGAUGGACCUGCGUUGUAUUAGCUAGUUGGUGAGGUAACGGCUCACCAAGGCGACGAUACAUAGCCGACCUGAGAGGGUGAUCGGCCACACUGGGGCUGAGACACGGCCCAGACUCCUACGGGAGGCAGCAGUAGGGAAUCUUCGGCAAUGGACGGAAGUCUGACCGAGCAACGCCGCGUGAGUGAAGAAGGUUUUCGGAUCGUAGAGCUCUGUUGUAAGAGAAGAACGAGUGUGAGAGUGGAAAGUUCACACUGUGACGGUAUCUUACCAGAAAGGGACGGCUAACUACGUG